GGGCCCGUAGCUCAAUCGGGGGAGCACCGCGCUGGCAGUGCGGAGGACGUGGGUUCGACCCCCACCGGGUCCA
rnacentral:tRNA from 1 species